rnacentral:rRNA from 1 species
GACGAACGCUGGCGGCGUGCUUAACACAUGCAAGUCGAACGGAAAGGCCCUGCGUUUGUGGGGUGCUCGAGUGGCGAACGGGUGAGUAACACGUGAGUAACCUGCCCUUGACUUUGGGAUAACUUCAGGAAACUGGGGCUAAUACCGGAUAGGAGCUCCUGCUGCAUGGUGGGGGGUGGAAAGUUUCGGCGGGUGGGGAUGGACUCGCGGCUGAUCAGCUUGUUGGUGGGGGAGUGGCUUACCAAGGCUUUGACGGGUAGCCGGCCUGAGAGGGUGACCGGCCACAUUGGGCCUGAGAUACGGCCCAGACUCCUACGGGAGGCAGCAGUGGGGAAUAUUGCACAAUGGGCGGAAGCCUGAUGCAGCAACGCCGCGUGCGGGAUGACGGCCUUCGGGUUGUAAACCGCUUUCGCCUGUGACGAAGCGUGAGUGACGGUAAUGGGUAAAGAAGCACCGGCUAACUACGUG